GAUGAACGCUGGCGGCGUGCCUAAUACAUGCAAGUCGAGCGAACGGACGAGAAGCUUGCUUCUCUGAUGUUAGCGGCGGACGGGUGAGUAACACGUGGAUAACCUACCUAUAAGACUGGGAUAACUUCGGGAAACCGGAGCUAAUACCGGAUAAUAUUUUGAACCGCAUGGUUCAAAAGUGAAAGACGGUCUUGCUGUCACUUAUAGAUGGAUCCGCGCUGCAUUAGCUAGUUGGUAAGGUAACGGCUUACCAAGGCAACGAUGCAUAGCCGACCUGAGAGGGUGAACGGCCACACUGGAACUGAGACACGGUCCAGACUCCUACGGGAGGCAGCAGUAGGGAAUCUUCCGCAAUGGGCGAAAGCCUGACGGAGCAACGCCGCGUGAGUGAUGAAGGUCUUCGGAUCGGAAAACUCUGUUAUUAGGGAAGAACAUAUGUGUAAGUAACUGUGCACAUCUUGACGGUACCUAAUCAGAAAGCCACGGCUAACUACGUG
rnacentral:rRNA from 1 species